UUGAUCCCUGGCUCAGAACGAACGCUGGCGGCAGGCCUAACACAUGCAAGUCGAGCGAACCCUUCGGGGUUAGCGGCGGACGGGUGAGUAACGCGUGGGAACGUGCCCUUCUCUACGGAAUAGCCCUGGGAAACUGGGAGUAAUACCGUAUACGCCCUAUUGGGGAAAGAUUUAUCGGAGAAGGAUCGGCCCGCGUUGGAUUAGGUAGUUGGUGGGGUAAUGGCCUACCAAGCCUACGAUCCAUAGCUGGUUUGAGAGGAUGAUCAGCCACACUGGGACUGAGACACGGCCCAGACUCCUACGGGAGGCAGCAGUGGGGAAUCUUAGACAAUGGGGGCAACCCUGAUCUAGCCAUGCCGCGUGAGUGAUG
rnacentral:rRNA from 1 species